ensembl:lncRNA
GGGGUGUGCGGCUGGCUCGUCCCGCCCCUGCCCCUGAGUGACAGGACCGUGGACAGCAACAUUUCCCACCGGACACGAAGUUUGUCGGCCCUUGCCUUGGCAGAGCUGAGUAAGAAAAAUCACCAAGAAUAUUAUUUUUGGUAUUUGGAAUUGAAUUUGCCAGGAAUGCAAGCACAGCUACCUAACUAAAGACCUUGGCUUUGGAAACAUCUUACCCCUUGGCAGCUCUCCAGAGUUUAGACUUGGCAGCAUCAAAGACACAACGCAAGGCAUUUUGGAGAUCAAAGAUGGGUAGAAAAGAUGCUUCUACUAUAAAACUUCCUGUUGAUCAGUACAGAAAACAAAUUGGUAAACAGGAUUAUAAAAAAACUAAACCUAUUUUACGAGCAACCAAAUUAAAAGCAGAAGCAAAGAAAACAGCAAUAGGCAUAAAGUUGGCCUUGUACUUGCAGCUAUAUUGGCGCUACUACUGGCUUUCUAUGCUUUCUUUUAUCUCAGACUCACCACAGAUGUUGACCCUGAUCUGGACCAAGAUGAAGAUUAGCUAAGCAGCAAUCAAUGCAUGAAAGAGAAAUAACUUUAUGAAAGCACCCUUUGGGACCAAAACUUUCAAUACUGAACCUGUAACAUCUUUAAUUCUUUCUGCUAAUAUUUUCAGUUUGCAGACAUAUGAUUUUAAAUAGUUGCAUAGGAUAUCAAGAAAAGAACCUUACCUAGCAAUGCAGUAUAAUAUGUGCUACUAGAUACUUUUAUAUAUCUUUCUACUUUGACAGCCACCCUAUACAUGAUACAUUUAGAUGAAAUGGAAACCAGAUCCUAAAUGUUUCAAAUGUCAUUGCCAAUUUAUGUAUAUAAUUCCAUCACUUCCAGAUUACUAAGUCUGUUUUUGUUCUAUAUACAUCAUAAUUUAGUAUAUAUUCUUAUUUACAGAAACAUACUCAAAUCACAUUCAGAAAGAACAAAAAGUCAUGGGAAAUUUUUUAUUUUCCGACAAAGCCCUGCUCUCUUUCUGGAAGUAUUUUAUAUCAUUAGAGAGACUAUCUGCACAUACAUCUACAGUAAUCUUUUUCCUUCUUUGCCAACUGUUCAUUGCACAUGUGCUCCAUCAGAAAUGGCACCUGGAUGACAGAAGCUCAAAGAGUCACAUAUGUCUCUAAAAUAGAGUUCUUUUCCUCUUGGGCUGUCUGAACUGGUGUAAAUAGAAAGUUCAGUUGAUCUUGGUUUUAAUUAACUUAUUACUCUAUUAAUAUAACCUUGGAAUUCUAUUUUAAUUAUGUUGUUCUGGCUGCUUGUAGUAUCAGUUUGCCCCUCUUGUUAAGGAGAUAUGUAACAAUCUGUCAUUUAAUUGUGCCGUCUUUUUCACAUAACAGUAAAAGCAAAAAUCCUACCUACUCAGAAUCAUCUUCUUAGGUUGUCUCCUAAAUCUGAACAAUACAGUGGUUUUAUAAA